AAUGAACGUUGGCGGCGUGGAUUAGGCAUGCAAGUCGAGCGAGAACCCCGCAAGGGGGGACAGCGGCGAAAGGGACAGUAAUGUGUAGAUUAUCUGCCCUCAGGUCCCGGAUAGCUGCGGGAAACUGCAGGUAAUACCGGAUAACAUCUCCGGAUCAAAGGUGUGAUUCCGCCUGAGGAUGAGUCUGCAUCCUAUUAGCUAGUUGGUGGGGUAAUGGCCUACCAAGGCAUUGAUGGGUAGCAGGUGUGAGAGCACGACCUGCGUCAUUGGGACUGAGACACUGCCCAGACACCUACGGGUGGCUGCAGUCGAGAAUCUUCGGCAAUGGGCGCAAGCCUGACCGAGCGACGCCGCGUGUGGGAUGAAGGCCUUCGGGUUGUAAACCACUGUCAGAGGGGAUGAAAUGCAGGUGGGUUCUCCCAUCUGUUUGACAUAGCCUCAGAGGAAGGACGGGCUAAGUUCGUG
rnacentral:rRNA from 1 species